AUUUGAGUGUAUAGAUUGCAGGUUGCUAGUUGUAUGCUAACAUACCGGUACUUACUGUAACUGUUGUUUCAAAUACUUCCUACAGACUACAACAUGUUAACCUCAAGGAUAAUAUUAGAUUUUUUCCUUUUAAUAUGUCUUUUUAGUGUAUUUGUUCUUGGGUCUUCUGAAGAAGCUCCCUACCUGCUUAUGACCCCUAGUGGGAACCAGUUUAUCAAAAAUGGUAAAGAUAUUAACGUGGAAUGUAAAGUGAUGAAUACAACAUCACCAUAUGAUAUAACUUGGUAUAAGAACAAUCAACCACUACAAACACAAGGACAUUAUAUCAUCCAAGGAAACAAAUUCUCAAUUCGGUCGCCUGGUAGCAAACAAGUUGGAACAUAUUCCUGCGAAGCAAUUGUGGAAACUAUUGAUGGAUCAGUAAUGCUGGAACGCUCUAUAACAUAUGGAGAACCGAUUCACAUCGAAGCCAUGGACACCAUCAGAUACAGCAAGGGAGAAAUUGCACACAUAGUGUGUACAGCAACGUCGAGCCCUCUACCAGUAGUCACAUGGUCUAUAAAUAACAUGAACGUUUCAGUUGCUAUAGACAGUGGAAACACAAGUCACUACCAGCAAGUUGGGCGUAACGAUGGACCUCAUGGCUGGAAGUCAACUCUAAGAGUGUUGGACCUCUCAUAUUCUGACACUGGCGUCUAUAAUUGUACUGCCUUCAAUGGGAUCCACCAAGAGCACAAGGCAAUUCGCGUCACAGUACAAGAUCGCAUGGCUGCUGUCUAUCCUUUCUUGGGCAUUGUUACUGAGUGUACAAUCCUAAUUAUUGUGAUCCUGAUUCAGGAGAAAUGUAGUGAAGACAGUUAUGACGAAUGUGAUGCAUUAAACAAGAACGACGAAAAAGCUGAACUUUUAGAAAAAGGAAACUUAAAAUAAAUCAAAAGUAUAUCAAUCCUGUAAGAAUUAUUUUGAAAGUUAUGGCAAUAAAUUGCAAUAUAUUAUUUCUAGACAUGAAAACUAAUUAGUUUCCAUUUACUGUGAAAGUCAACAUAGUCUUGUUUAUUCGUUUUCAUGUUACUGUGAAAGACAAACUUAAAGAAGUUUCGUAGGAGGUUUGUUGCUUUUAGUCUGAAAAAAAUCCUAAUAGAUUCUCGUAAUUUCUUCUUUUAUAAAUUGUAUUAACUCUAAAAUCCUUCGCUUCGCACAGUUUUUUUUUUAUAACAACAACUAUAGGUAGGUUUUUCUUUUUUAAUCAAGUACAUUAAAUUUGAUGAGGGGAUGAAAUUCCACAAAUCCCACCUCAGUCACACGUCGGGAACAUAUGCAAAUUAGCUAAAAUAUGCAAAUUAGGUUGAAAUAGGGUUCUCAUAUCUUGGCAGUCGCAGAGAGUUGCUUCCUGUUAAUUAUGCAAAUUAAGGAAGAAAAUAUGAGGUACCAUAUCUUCGCAACCGCUGGUCACAGGGAGUUUCUUUUUCAAAUUAUCCGGAACAUGUAUGUUUCUAUCCGCUCUAAUAGAAAAUUUGCCAUAAAAAUUACCGGAAAUGCUACAACUCACCUUUGACCUUAUAUUCACUGAAUUCGCAUAUUUCUGUGACUAUUGUCAGUAGAAACAUGCAUGCUUUUCAUUAUAUGAAUAAAAGGGAUGAAAUUCCACAAGUUACACCUCUGUCACACGUCAGGAGCAUUAAACAAAUUAACUAUGUUAAUUAGGUGUGAAAUUAGGGGUCCUGUAUCUUGGCAACAGCAAAUAACAGACGUGCUAAAACUGAUCUUUGACCCUAUAUUCACAGAAUUUGCAUACUGUAUAUCUCUGAGACUAAUGUCUGUAGAAACCUAAUGUAUUGUUGAAUUUAUUCAAAUUCAUGUUUCUUUCAUUUUAUUAAAGAGGAUUAAUAUCUUAAACAUUAUCCUUGUCACAUGUCCCGUUUUUGUAUAUAAAAUGUACGUCCUGAGCUUAAUUAUGCCAGUUAGAGAUGAAAAUAUAGGGUUCUCAUAUCUUGAAAACUGCUGGUGUCAAGUAGUUGCUUUCUUUUUUUAGCAUUUUAGAAGGUGCAUGUUUCAAUUUGCUUCAGUGUAUGUAUGCACCAGUAUAUAAUUCAGGUUUUGAUUCACUGUACAGUAUAUAAUAUGGGAUGAAAGUCUAGAAAUCAUACCUUGGCCACUUGCACUCUUUAUAUGUAGUUUUACCUAAAUAUGCAAAUUAAAAGCAGAAAUCGUUGCUUUCCUUUUUUGCAAUUGUUCAGAGCAGCAUGGAGAAAUGCAAUAUUUGAUCAUUUUGGAAUAUAUUUAUUAUUCUCAAAAUAAUUAUCAAAUAAUUAUUUUUCUGAAAAUAUUAUUUGAUGUUCCCUGUAAUAAGACUACCAACGCCCUCGUUUAUAACCAGCUCCUCGCUCUACAUUUUCGUGUAACUCCAUGACUACUUGACAUUGGUUUCAAAUUAAUUAGAAAGUAUGCCUAUAAUUUAUAUAAUAUAUUUUUAAACUAGAAAAGUUAUCACGUAAAAUUAUCAGAACUCAAACAUAAUAUGACCCAUGUUUCCCAUAACUACCGAUCAUCCUAAGUUUAAAAAUCUGUUGAAUAUUAAAAUCUGCGGUAGAUGGUUUAACUUUAAAUUUAUGUAAUAUGAAACAAUGAUUUAUAAGUGUAUUUUAAUGAUCAGUAUAUUUUAACUUGAAAGUUAUUAUGUAAUACAAAAAGGCUUGCUUGUGAAGAACGCACUGCAAACACCUGAUCAAGCUCUUUCAUCGACUUCUCGCGAAAGCCUUUUUCAGAAAAAAUGUUAUUACAUUUAUCAUUAAUGACUAUAUCUUCACAUAAAAAUUUUAUGUGACCAGGAUGAAGACCGAUCUCUAUGGGUAAUGUAAGGUCAAAGCUCCAUUGCAGCAUUUUCAAUUUUAAUUUGUAUAUUUUAGAGCGAAUUUGGAUAUGAAUAGUGCAUUUGAUUAUAAUGUGAUUAUAGAUUUCUAUCCUUGUUAUUAUUAUAUUUUUAAAAAAAACAUUGAAUAAUUUGACAUAAGUCGCAGAGACGCAAUCAGUAAAUAUCAGGUCAAAGGUGAAUUCUAUCAUUUGGUGAAGAGUUUCUACUAGAGCCAAUAAAACAUACAUAUUUCGUACAAUUUAAAAAAGAAAGCAACUCCCUGUGACCAGCUAUUGUCAAGAUAUAGGAACCUUUUUCAUUCCUAAUUUGCAUAUUUUAAAGCUCAUUUGCAUAUGAACAGUACAUGUGACCAUGGUGUGAUUAUAGAUUUCCAUCUCUUCUAUUUGAAAAGAAACAUGUGUUUAAAUAAUUUAAGACCUAAAUCAAGAUUCUACGGAAAGUAGUCACAGAGAUAUGCAAAUUUGGUGAUUAUAAGGUCAAAGGUCAAUUUUAGCAUUUCCGUUCAUUUUUGUGGCAAAUGUUCCAUUACAGCAAAUAGAAAUAUGCAUAUUCCGUACAAUCUGAAAAAGAAAGCAACUCUAAGUGACUUGCCAAAAUAUGAGAACCUUUUAUUUUCUAAUUUGCAUGUUUUAGAGCUAAUUUGCAUAUGAACAGUACAUUUGACCAUAGUGUGAUUAUAAAUGUUCAUCCCUUUUAUUUAUAUAAUGCAAAUAAAGAUAAAUUUGAAUGAUUUGAGACCCAAAAAUUUUUUUAUGUACAUUAGCGACAGAGAUAUGCAAAUUCAAUGAAUAUAUGGUCACAGGUCAAUUGUAGUAUUUCCGUUCAUUUUAUGGGCAAAUAUUCCAUUAGAGCAAAUAGAAACAUGCAUAAUUUGAAAAAGAAAGCAACUCUCUGCGACCAUCGGUUGCCAAGAUAUGAGACUCAUAUAUUUUCAACCUAAUUUGCAUAUUUUAGCUAAUAUGCAUAUGUUCCCGAUGUGUGAGCGAUUUGUGAUUUGUGGAAUUUCAUCCCCUCAUCAUAUGUACUUGAUUAAAAAAGAAAAACCUUUGUAUGCAUUUGUUUGACUUUUGGCUAUUUUUUUUAGCUAGAUUGCCUAGCCUAAAAUAGUACUUUCAAAAUACAAAUUUUUAUCCCGAAAAGCCUACAUGUACUUAAUGUAAAAUAUAAAGUGUCUUGCCUAAGGAAACACAUUUAAUGGAUCUUGGUAGGAUAUAUUUUUACAAGUGCUAUUAGUGGCGUAUCUAGGUGAGGCUAAAGAAACUAGCUCCCUCAGCUGUCGCUCCCCUCCCCCCACCACCAUUACAAUAGAUUGAAGCAAGCUCAAGUAGUUAAAAACACCUCAUAUCACCAUAUUUUGCGAUGUGACACCCUCUCACUUAUAUCAUCUUCGCACCCUCCUCAGCUCAACAUUUUAAGACUUAGAUAUGCCACUGAGUGGUAGAGAAUAUUCAUUCCCAUAGAUAAUGGCUAGAAUACAUAAUAAUACAUAAAUCUCACUACUGCAUAUACUAACUGUAAAUAAAACUGUAUUUCUCUUUUAUUUAAGAACAUUGGCCAUAUGUGAAUCUAGUUACCUUCAAUUGAAGGCACAGAAUUUUAAAAAUAUCUUACUGCAAUUAUUUGUCUUUUUUAAGUAGGCUAACGUCUGAAAGGGGGUUGUCACAGACGCAAAGUUAUAAUGGUAGUAUUGAUUUGAUAUAACAUAGAUACAUAAUCAAAUUAACAUUUUUGCUGUUUGUAAUUUUCAUGUCUGGAAAAUGACAUGCUGUAAAUUAAGUUUGAUAUAUUUACAUAUAUUUUGGUGUAUGACUAUUCUAAUUCUAAGGAAAUGUGUGAUUACGUUGGAAAUAAAAAUAAUCUGGGAUUUCA
rnacentral:misc_RNA from 1 species